rnacentral:rRNA from 1 species
AUUGAACGCUGGCGGCAGGCCUACCACAUGCAAGUCGAACGAGUGGCGGACGGGUGAGUAAUGUCUGGGAAACUGCCUGAUGGAGGGGGAUAACUACUGGAAACGGUAGCUAAUACCGCAUACCAUCGGAUGUGCCCAGAUGGGAUUAGCUAGUCGGUGGGGCAACGGCUCACCUAGGCGACGAUCCCUAGCUGGUCGGAGAGGAUGACCAGCCACACGGGAACUGCGAAACGGUCCAGACUCCUACGGGAGGCAGCAUGGGGGAAUAUUGGACAAGGGGCGAAAGCCUGAUGCAGCCAUGCCGCGUGUAUGAAUAAGGCCUUCGGGGUGUAAAGUACUUUCAGCGGGGAGGCGUUACCCGCAGAAGAAGCACCGGCUAACUCCGUGCCAGCCGCCGCGGUAAUAC